rnacentral:lncRNA from 1 species
CCUUUCUAGCCAUCCCAUUAUUAUUAUUAUCCAUUGUUUUACCCUGUUGAGCCUUUAAUCAUUUAUUGUUGAUAUACCCGUUUUUUUUUCUAAACCCAUGACCUUGGACCUAUCUUACCCUGUUCAGAGUAUGUGAGAAUUGAUUUCAUAUCUACGUUUCUAUCUAAGUUUGGGGUUGCUGUUGGUAUAACAACCUUUAAGUUUGGGGUAGCUUUGCAGUACAUGAAUAGUAUGUGAAUGUCGUAUAAAAAAAAAAAAAAAGAAAGAAAAAAAAAAUAAGAAUAAAAAGAAAGAAAUAGAAAAGCGAAGAACAGCUUUUGAAAGAUGCUACAUUCACUGGAAAUAAAAGGAAAAGAGGAUUGCAUAACCCUACAGGAAUAAUAACAAAGAAACGUAGCUUUUGAAAGAUGCUACAUUCACUGGAAAUAAAAGGAAAAGAGGAUUGCAUAACCCUACAGGAAUAAUAACAAAGAAACGUAGUAAGAGAAUGAUUGCAUGUACUCUGAACCAAAAAAAAUAAAUAAUAAUAAUAAACAUAAACCCUAGGUUCCACUUUCAUAGCCUACCUAAACCCAAGCCCCGUUACAACCCUAAAAGACCUCAAAAAGUGUGUGUGAUUGUACAUGUUGAUAGGAUGAGAGAAUUUAUUCAAACUGUUGAUUUGAUAUUGCAUAUUGUGAUUUGAGAGUGAUAA